rnacentral:rRNA from 1 species
GACGAACCGUGCGAACGUUAUUCGGAAUCACUGGGCUUAAAGCGCGUGUAGGCGGCCAUCUAAGUCGGGCGUGAAAUCCCACGGCUCAACCGUGGAAGUGCACUCGAAACUGGAUGGCUAGAGUCCUGGAGAGGAAGGUGGAAUGCUUGGUGUAGAGGUGAAAUUCGUAGAUAUCAAGCGGAACACCGGUGGCGAAGGCGGCCUUCUGGACAGUGACUGACGCUGAGACGCGAAAGCGUGGGGAGCAAACAGG